CCCGCGACAGGACGGAAAGACCCCGUGGAGCUUUACUGUAGCUUGAUAUUGAGUAUUUGUUAAACAUGUACAGGAUAGGUAGGAGCCAGAGAAAGUAGGACGCUAGUCUUACCGGAGGCAAUGUUGGGAUACUACCCUUGUUUGAUGGAUCCUCUAACUCACAGAGCUGAGCGUUCUGGAGGACAGUGUCAGGUGGGCAGUUUGACUGGGGCGGGUGGCUCCCUAAAUGUAA
rnacentral:rRNA from 12 species